ACGCAUGCAAGUCGAACGAUGAAGCCCUUCGGGGUGGAUUAGUGGCGAACGGGUGAGUAACACGUGGGCAAUCUGCCCUUCACUCUGGGACAAGCCCUGGAAACGGGGUCUAAUACCGGAUAAUACCUGCCUGGGCAUCUGGGUGGGUUAAAAGCUCCGGCGGUGAAGGAUGAGCCCGCGGCCUAUCAGCUUGUUGGUGAGGUAGUGGCUCACCAAGGCGACGACGGGUAGCCGGCCUGAGAGGGCGACCGGCCACACUGGGACUGAGACACGGCCCAGACUCCUACGGGAGGCAGCAGUGGGGAAUAUUGCACAAUGGGCGAAAGCCUGAUGCAGCGACGCCGCGUGAGGGAUGACGGCCUUCGGGUUGUAAACCUCUUUCAGCAGGGAAGAAGCGAAAGUGACGGUACCUGCAGAAGAAGCGCCGGCUAACUACGUGCCAGCAGCCGCGGUAAUACGUAGGGCGCAAGCGUUGUCCGGAAUUAUUGGGCGUAAAGAGCUCGUAGGCGGCUUGUCACGUCGGUUGUGAAAGCCCGGGGCUUAACCCCGGGUCUGCAGUCGAUACGGGCAGGCUAGAGUGUGGUAGGGGAGAUCGGAAUUCCUGGUGUAGCGGUGAAAUGCGCAGAUAUCAGGAGGAACACCGGUGGCGAAGGCGGAUCUCUGGGCCAUUACUGACGCUGAGGAGCGAAAGCGUGGGGAGCGAACAGGAUUAGAUACCCUGGUAGUCCACGCCGUAAACGGUGGGAACUAGGUGUUGGCGACAUUCCACGUCGUCGGUGCCGCAGCUAACGCAUUAAGUUCCCCGCCUGGGGAGUACGGCCGCAAGGCUAAAACUCAAAGGAAUUGACGGGGGCCCGCACAAGCAGCGGAGCAUGUGGCUUAAUUCGACGCAACGCGAAGAACCUUACCAAGGCUUGACAUCGCCCGGAAAGCAUCAGAGAUGGUGCCCCCCUUGUGGUCGGGUGACAGGUGGUGCAUGGCUGUCGUCAGCUCGUGUCGUGAGAUGUUGGGUUAAGUCCCGCAACGAGCGCAACCCUUGUUCUGUGUUGCCAGCAUGCCCUUCGGGGUGAUGGGGACUCACAGGAGACUGCCGGGGUCAACUCGGAGGAAGGUGGGGACGACGUCAAGUCAUCAUGCCCCUUAUGUCUUGGGCUGCACACGUGCUACAAUGGCAGGUACAAUGAGCUGCGAUGCCGCGAGGCGGAGCGAAUCUCAAAAAGCCUGUCUCAGUUCGGAUUGGGGUCUGCAACUCGACCCCAUGAAGUCGGAGUUGCUAGUAAUCGCAGAUCAGCAUUGCUGCGGUGAAUACGUUCCCGGGCCUUGUACACACCGCCCGUCACGUCACGAAAGUCGGUAACACCCGAAGCCGGUGGCCCAACCCCCUUGUGGGGAGGGAGCUGUCGAAGGUGGGACUGGCGAUUGGGACGAAGUCG
rnacentral:rRNA from 1 species